GGCGCUAUGGUGUAGUGGUAACACAUGGGAUUCUGACAUUCAGCGUUCCCAUGACCCAGGUUCGAACCCUAGUAGCGCCU